CGUACGUAGGCGGAUUGGUAAGCAUCUUGUGAAAUCCCUCGGCUCAACCGAGGAACUGCAGGGUGAACUGCCCAUCUUGAGGUCGGUAGGGGCCGUCGGAACGCUGGGUGGAGCGGUGAAAUGCGUAGAUAUCCAGCGGAACGCCGAAGGUGAAGACAGGCGGCUGGGCCGAUUCUGACGCUGAGGUACGAAAGCGUGGGUAGCGAACGGGAUUAGAUACCCCGGUAGUCCACGCCCUAAACGAUGUGUACUAGGUCGUGGGAGGUCUGACCCUCUCUCGAUCGAAGCGAAAGUGGUUAGUACACCGCCUGGGGAGUACGGUCGCAAGGCUAAAACUCAAAGGAAUUGACGGGGGCUCACACAAGCGGUGGAGCAUGUGGCUUAAUUCGAAGCAACGCGAAGAACCUUAUCCUGGGUUUGACAUGCACGGAUUAACCCCAUGAAAAUGGGGCCACGCCUUCGGGUGGAACGUGCACAGGUGCUGCAUGGCUGUCGUCAGCUCGUGCUGUGAAGUGUCGGGUUAAGUCCCUUAACGAGCGCAACCUUGUCGUUAGUUGCUAACAUUCAGUUGAGGACUCUAACGAGACUGCCGGUGUCAAACCGGAGGAAGGUGGGGAUGACGUCAAGUCCGCAUGGCCUUUAUGCCCAGGGCUGCACACGUGCUACAAUGGCGGGUACAGAACGAAGCAAUACCGCGAGGUGGAGCAAAUCGCUCAAAACCCGCCCCAGUUCGGAUUGGAGGCUGAAACCCGCCUCCAUGAAGUUGGAAUCGCUAGUA
rnacentral:rRNA from 1 species